GCCGAAGUGGCGGAAUGGCAGACGCGACGGAUUCAAAAUCCGUUGUCCGCAAGGACGUGUGGGUUCGAGUCCCACCUUCGGUA
rnacentral:tRNA from 1 species